rnacentral:piRNA from 1 species
ACUGUGGAGAUAAGCCCCCAUAUUGUGUGGC